GACGAACGCUGGCGGCGUGCUUAACACAUGCAAGUCGAACGGAAAGGCCCUGCUUUUGUGGGUUGCUCGAGUGGCGAACGCGUGAGUAACACGUGAGUAACCUGCCCUUGACUUUGGGAUAACUUCAGGAAACUGGGGCUAAUAUCGCAUAGGAGCUCCUGCUGCAUGGUGGUGGUUGGAAAGUUUCGGCGUUUGGGGAUGGAUUCGCGGCGUAUCGGCUUGUUGGUGGGGUGGUGGAUGACCAAGGCUUUGACGGGUAGCCUGCCUGAGAGGGUGACAGGCGACACAGGGACUGAGGUGAGGCACAGGCACCUACGGGAGGGAGCUGUGCGGAAGAUUGAACGAUGGGCGGAAGGUUAAUGAAGCAGGGCCGCGGGUCGUAUGACGGUCUUAGGAUUGUAAAACGCAUUCGUAUGUGACGAAGCGUGAGUGACGGUAAUGGGUAAAGAAGCACCGGCUAACUACGUG
rnacentral:rRNA from 1 species